UGCAUUGUGACGUCAUAGCAUUAUUGAUCGUAAAUAAAACGAUGCUAGCUCUGCUUCUGUGAUUACCCGGAUAAACAGACUUUUGGCACCUGUCGAUUCCCAUAUGGACAAUUUUAUUGCAUAGAAAAACAUGACAAAAAGUAGGAUGAUGGAAGAAACACAAGUCAGUGUUAACGAUGAAAGUUAUGACUACGACAGCUUUGAUGAAAACAGUGACGAAAGACCUACAGAACGUUGGGCUCCCUUGGGUGCUGCUGCUGUCAGUCCCGCUCCAUCUCAGACAGAAACUAGCCAUCAUGCACAGAACGAUCAGUUACGACAGUUAGAAGAAGAGCAAGAACAGCUAAAUUCAUCACUACUAGCCCUGACCACACAUUUUGCCCAUGUCCAAUUUAGAUUAAAACAGAUUGUUAGUGCACCUCCAGAUGAUAAAGAGACAUUAUUACAAGAAUUGGAAGAGUUUGCCUUUAGAGGUAUUCCUGAUGCCAGAUUAUGUUUAGACAAAAAGUUAGAGGAGGUUCAAGAGGAAAUGAGUGAUCAGGAACAUGAACAGAAACUAAUAGAGCAGAGAGAGAAACAGAGGGAGUUAAUAGAACAGCUGAAAAAACAACUGGAAGAAUUAGAAACUUAUGCUUAUGAGACUGGCGAUGCUGAUGUGGUUCCUACGUCCAAAGUGAUGGAGAAACAAAAAGUUGUCAUCGAUGAACUGAAACAUAAACUGGAUCUUAAUCUGGAGGGCUUUGACAGUCUCAGCACAGAUCAGUUAAAACAGAUUGUUGAUCAUGCUGUUGGAGAGAUAGUUAACCCAGGCAAGGUUAAAGAAAAGCUGAUUCAGCAGCUAUCAACACAGAUAACUGAUUUAGAAAGAUUUAUACAGUUUUUACAAGGGGAGGCAACAAGUCCUGGACCUUUAGGAAAGGAGAGAUGCACAUGUACAGUUCAUAAGUUUCCUUCUGGUGAUUGUUCAGAUACCUCUUCAAAAGAUUGUAAAGUGCGAGACAGAAAUACCAACAAGCACAAUAAAAAGAAUGUGAAAGAAACAAGAGCAUUUAUAAAGAAAAGUAUCGAGUUACUACAGAUGUUCCUCAUUAGUCAGUUUGGAUGUGGUGGGAGGGACUUCCAGAGAAACUUACUGAAGAAAACAACAAAAGGCAAUCAUUGGGGUGACUUACGAGCCCGUUUGGAGGUAGCUAUAAACAAAGUAUUAGAGGCAGCAGUAGAGGAGGAAAAAAGUCAGGAAAAAGAUGCCAGGUUCAGUGAAUAUGGCAGUGAUUCAGAGGAGAGUCAAGAACAAAGCAGUGCUUUGCUUACACAGACUGUGAGAAGAGAUCUGUCAAUGGCCAUUAGAGAUUUGAUAGAACAUGGACUCAUGGAGAUAGGACAGAGUACAAGCGUAGUACCGUGGGGAUGUUUUCCAUCGAGGUCAGGGCAGGUAACCAGACAGAUGCAUGCUUGGGAUUUGUUGAUCAAGUUUUAUGAAAUGAAGCAUGGUAAAGAAUACAAUGAAUCGCCUGCUAGAAUGUUGUCUCAAUCCUUCCAUUUGGACAUCGUGGGAGGGAAAGCCAUUACUGCCAAACAGACAUUACUUGGUGCAAUAGAUACAGUCAUCUCAUCUCAUACUCCACUCAAACGAACAGAAGAUUCUCAUUUUAAAGCUAUAAUCUCACUUGCAUUAAAUGAAAGGAAACUUCCAACAUGGUUAAAGUUAUUAUUCCGUACACAGAGUUUAAUAGACAAUUAUUACCAAGACUGGAGCUACGUUGCCAGAACAGGAUUUGAUGAUGCUAUCAAGGCUCUUGACAGCUUAAACAAAAUCAACUUCAGACUCCCUGUAGAUUUGGCCGUCAGACCGUUCAGUAACAUCAAAGAUGCGUUCUAAUCACAAACAUUAUAUGUAGACUCAUAUUAUGUCGGUAGUACAUAAGGAUGUUCGCUACUCUGUUUUGAAAAAACGAGCUUUUUAAAAGACAGUAAUAAAUGGACAUAAUAUAAAUAAUGGAACUAAAAAUUGAAGAAAAAAAUGUUGAGUCUGAGUCCUUUUUAGCCAUUGAAAAUAUGGAGGGAAAUUAUUCUCUAUAUUGUUCAUACAUUUAACAUUGGGACAAUUUUUCUUUCAAAACUACAGAAAAAAGAACAAGGAAUUUAUAUGAUUUUCAAAUAUGGCUUUUUUAAUGAUUUGUUAUAAAAUUCUGUAAAGAAAACUAAUGGUAAGCUGGCAAUAUGUUUAGUGGCAUAACAUGGGGAAAAAACAGAGAAUUCCGAAUAUCUGGCAAAAAUUCCAAAAACAAGAGUAGAGAACAUCCUUAAAUAUUUGCAAAGCCAAUAGAAAUAUGUGUUGAUGGUCAUGUGACCAAAUCAGGUUUUGAACCAUGACUAAAAAUGAAAGGAUAGACUAAUCAAUGUAUUCAAUUUACAAAUGUAAUUGGAAACAUAAUUUUUAUUUUUAGGUCAGAGGGUAGGUUUUUAAGGCAUAUGCAAUACAAAUUUGAUAAGGAAUGGUUGUGUCUGAUGAUAAUCUCUAUGAUAAGGUUAGAUCUUCAAGUAUUAUUGAAAAAUGAAAAUUGUUUCAAUUUUUUCUUUUUCUGAUAAUAAAAUUAUAAAAAGACUAAAACAGGUUACCAACAAAUCCUUAAAUGGCAUUACAUGGAUAAAACCAGAGGUAUCCGAAUAUCUGACAAAAAGUCACAAGCAUGAUCUGUUAAUAUCCUUAAGCCAAAAUGUAUUUUGUUAUUUUCAUCUAAAUAGUUGUAUGCUUUUAAAAUAUCCACGAUCCCAUUUUUGGUAUAAAUCUUGUUCAUGUUCCUCAAGGGAGACAAUAACUGAUUUCGUCUGCCUUUCUUCAGACUAUUUUUGUCAUGUUAUUGUUCAGUCUUUAAAACAUACUACUUAAAUUUGUCAUGUACAUUCCAUAUUUCAUAUUAAUAUGUUUUUCUGCAAAUUCCAAUAUUUUGGCAUUUUAAUGUAAUUUCCGAUAUUUUUGCAUGAAAUGAUAAAUGGGAAAUUUUGUAACUGUUUUAAUUUUAAAUUAGCUAAUUUCCUUUGUAUGAUGAAAUUGCAAAAUCAAGAUCACUAUUCUGUAUAUUAUUUCUGUUAUCAGAUUCUACCCAGAAAUCAUGAAAUUUAAACUUCUCAAAAUUAGAAGCAAAGAAAUUAAAAUCAUGUGGAACAUAAGAGGCACUUUUUCUAGAUCCUCUUACCCAGAACAUAAAAUUUUCUAUUUAAUACUAAGAGUUUUAACAAAAUUAUAAGGAAAAUUCAACCCACAAUUAAUAAAUUUCAAUGCCUCCCAUUUCUCCAACAAGGAUCAAUUUUUGAAUAGCCCAAGGCAACUUUUUGGGGCUCGAUUAUAUAUCUCUAAAUGAAGAAAUGGCAAUUUUUAUUGUCACUUUAAACAAAAAGAUUGAUAAAUUUAUACCCCCAUUAGUAUUACAAUUUAAAGUUCAUUCCCAAAAUUUCAUUUGUCAUAUCGUUACAUAAUCCCAUUUUUUUUUAAAUUGUCUGAGAUGUAUAUAUAAUGAAAAUUCAUUCCAGUGGACUUUUUUCAUUCAAGUGGAUUUCUUUCAUUCCAGUUCUUAAAUUCCAAGAGAGUCCAUUUGAAAAAUAAUUCUGAACACAAGAAAUCCAUACUUUUACAUUUGUAUAUAUAUAUGUAAUUUUACAAAUCACAGGUUGUUGGGGAAGCAUAAAAAAGUUGUGAUAUAUUUAAUAUGAUUUUGUAUAAAUUAUCAUCUUUUGUUGUUAUGUAUAUAUUAUACAUACUCCAUUUUUGUUAUGUAUUAUUAUAUAUGUGAUUUUGUUUUGUUAUGUUUUAAAUAUUGAAAUCCAUUUAUUAUUUUUCUUGAUAUUAUGAAACUGGUUUUUUUAAGUGCAAUUGAAUUAUACUGUUAUUUUCUUUGAUUGAGCUAUAGUGUACCUUGGCUAUGCAAUUGAAGGGAAUAACUAGCCAGGCAAUAUUUAUUUACAUAAGUUUAUUUAUAUAUCUAUCUAUUUUCUUGUUUAUUUUAUUCUUUGAAUCCAAUAAUGUGAAAUCCAGGUAAUUUUUUGUUAUGUUGUCCAUUUAUUUAUUAAAUGGUCUAAUGAUUUAUUCUCUUACACUGCCAUGUAUUCGUAUAUACAUGUAGAUAGAACUUCUGAUUUUUACUAAAAUAUUUGUCGACAUAACUGUAAAUUCAGAAUUUAUUGCAAUGUCUUGUCCGGAACAUACAUGAAAUAUUUGCUACUGAACAUUAAAAAACCCAACAAUCAAUCAGUUAUUGCAAUGACUUUAUUAUUGCGAAAAAUUCGACAGUGUUGUUAUUGCAAUAAUUUAAAUUCGCCUUUUAAAAAAAAUAUAUGAUUUAAACAAGAUUUUUCACAAUAAAGAAAAAAAUAAAAAUGACAAAAUCAGAAAAAAAAAGCCAACAAUAAUUUCUGAAUUUACGGUACUUUCAGUUUGGUUAUAAUCAUUAAGAUGUGUCUAGAAAAUAUGGUGUGGGACCUAAGACCCUAAUGGGACUUUAUAUGGAUUUCUGUAGUGAUCUUGGUUGACCACAGAUACAAUUUCAUUAUAAAAACAUGUUGAGAAAAUUUCCAGUCUUUAAUAAUUUUCAUAUAAAUAUUCUAAGCUUAUACUUAUAACUUAAUUUAAACAAUUUUAAAUCUUACAUAAUCUCCCUUUAGCAAGGGUUUCCAACCUAGAUUUUGAAAUGUAUGAAUGAUAAAUUGUUUUUUUAAAGCCAAGUUAAUGGUUAUUUUACAGUUUCAAGUUCACAAAUAUUACUUCUUUUGCCAUUAAAAAUUGGCACAUAUAUAAAAAAUUUUAUCUGAAUUUGUUGCACAUAGUGUUAAUGAUGUCUUUUAGCAAUUCCUUCUUACUAUUAUGUAAUAACAUGAAAUGUUCGGGAAAGUGCAUAAAUUUUUUGAGUCGUCUAUGUAUCAUAAUCAUGUUUACUGUGGAUUCAUUUAUUUUUGUGGGUACCAAUUUUCGUGGAUUGAUGAAAACUUGCAUUUUCGUGGAUAUUUGAAUUUUUGGAAUCCCAAAAGUCUGCAUAUAACCAUACAGCAAAUUUGUAAUUCGUUGCACAUUAAAAUUUGUGGCUUCCUCCUACCCACGAAAAUUGGUAUCCAACAAAUAAUAAUGAAUCCACAGUAUAUUGUUUAUUGUAAAAGUUCUUUUGUUUUAUUGGUAUGUUAUCAAUACCAGUAAUAAGUGAACAUUUAUUUACAUAAUUCAUUCAAUAGGAGGUUGUGAAAUCUUACUUGUAUUGUUUUAUUGACAAUACCUCAAUACUGUGGAUUCAUUUAUUUUCCUUGGUAACAAUUUGCAUGGAUUUAAUGAAAAUUGUUUUUUCAUGGAAACUUAAUUAGUUGUCUUGCCAAAGUCUAUAAGAAAUUUGAUGUUCACCUAUAUCUAUGAAAUCUUAAAAAUUGGUAAUCCACAGUAUUAUUGUUUAUUUUAAAUUUUAUUUUAAAAUUAUUUGUUGAACUUUUAAAAAGAAAAGCAUAAUCUCUAAUCAGCCUUAAGAAGGUGGUACCCAACACUUUCAUUAAAAUUAAUUUGGCUCGUUUCAUUUUCAUAAAAAUUUUACAAAGUAUUUACUUUGACUCUUUAGUGGAAUAUAUAAAUUUCAAAAAUUUUUGAACAAACCAUUUUAUCAGAAAUAUUACACUGGUUAUAUGGCAAUCUGACAAACACCAAUUUUGAUCAUUUAGAAGCUUAAUAUCCCCUUUACAACACAACGUAAUUAAAACGUUUAGCUGAUUUUACAGAGUUAUCUCCCUGUAGUGUUAGGUACCACCUUAAGACCAAAAAAACUAAAAGUGGUUAACUUUUUAAAGAAGACCACGAAACUAAGUAUCCCACAAGUAUUUUCUGAUGAAUCCACAGUGGAUAAGACUUUAGUUGAAUCUCCUGUUUACAAGUAUUGUUGAUGUUGCAUUUAUGUCAUGAGUACGGUAUCCAAUAAAUUAUUUCAGCAUGAA